rnacentral:tRNA from 1 species
UCAGCGGUAGAGUAACGCCAUGGUAAGGCGUAAGUCAUCGGUUCAAAUCCGAUAAGGUGCU